GAUGAACGCUAGCGAUAGGCCUAACACAUGCAAGUCGAGGGGCAUCACAUGAAGUAGCGAUACGGAUGGUGGCGACCGGCGCACGGGUGAGUAACACGUAUGCAACCUGCCUUCAACAAGGGGAUAACCCGUUGAAAGACGGACUAAUACCCUAUAACACAGGGGUCCCGCAUGGGAAUAUUUGUUAAAGGACAACCGGUUGAAGAUGGGCAUGCGUUCCAUUAGCUAGUUGGCGGGGUAACGGCCCACCAAGGCAACGAUGGAUAGGGGAACUGAGAGGUUUAUCCCCCACACUGGUACUGAGACACGGACCAGACUCCUACGGGAGGCAGCAGUGAGGAAUAUUGGUCAAUGGACGCAAGUCUGAACCAGCCACGUCGCGUGAAGGAAGACGGCCCUACGGGUUGUAAACUUCUUUUGUAAGGGAAUAAAGUGUAGUACGCGUACUAUUUUGCAUGUACCUUACGAAUAAGGAUCGGCUAACUCCGUGCCAGCAGCCGCGGUAAUUACG
rnacentral:rRNA from 1 species